CACGUAUGGAGCAAGCGUUAUCCGGAUUUACUGGGUGUAAAGGGAGCGUAGGCGGCAUGGUAAGUCUGAUGUGAAAGCCCGGGGCUCAACCCCGGUAUUGCAUUGGAAACUGUCAAGCUAGAGUGUCGGAGGGGUAAGUGGAAUUCCUAGUGUAGCGGUGAAAUGCGUAGAUAUUAGGAGGAACACCAGUGGCGAAGGCGGCUUACUGGACGAUUACCGACGCUGAGGCUCGAAAGCGUGGGGAGCAAAC
rnacentral:rRNA from 1 species